AUAAAUGUUUUCUAGGGUUCCGCGAUAUCUAUAUCGGCUGGUCCGAGAGAAAACUCACAACCUAUAGGUUGUGUCACGGAGGGAUAAAAGCCUGGGAGAU
rnacentral:sRNA from 2 species